rnacentral:rRNA from 1 species
UACAGAGGUGGCAAGCGUUGUUCGGAUUUAUUGGGCGUAAAGGGUCCGUAGGCGGUCCGUAAAGUCAGAUGUGAAAUCCCACAGCUCAACUGUGGAACUGCAUUUGAAACUCACGGACUAGAGUAUGAGAGGGGUUAAGGGAAUUCCCGGUGUAAGGGUGAAAUCUGCAGAGAUCGGGAGGAACACCAGUCGCGAAGGCGCUUAACUGGCUCAUUACUGACGCUCAGGGACGAAAGCUAGGGGAGCAAACGGG